AGAGUGAAAAAUCUAACAAAGAACACAUUGCAAAGCUGCAUGAAAAUUCAGAUUAAUUUUGGAAUUUACGAGAGGUGUUUGUUGGAUCGUGCAGGAGCCGAGGAUAAAGUACUCUACAACACAG